AAAUCAGAAUUUCACCAUGAUUUUCGUGAGCAUGUGAAGGAGAGAAAUAAGAAAAAAAAAACGUGUGAGGAAAAAAUAGAAAGGGAGAGAGAGAAAACGCAUGGGAGUAGAGGGGAAGGGGAUGAAGAAUAAAAGAAGUAGAUCUAAAGAUUUAGAAGGAAGGGUUGGAAAGAAGAGACAAAUUUUUUAUGAUAACUCAUUGUCUCCUAAUCGAAUCAGGUCAAAAUUGCUUUUAGAUCGCGCUCGUCGAUAUAGAUCUCCUAUGAAAAGUUUGGAGUCGUCCUCUUCAAUGUUCGAAAGUAGAACUCGGCGUUGUCUUCAUAGUGAAUCUUAUUGUUCUUUUUGUAAGGAAUACGAAAACCAUGUAUGUGUAGAUGAGGUAGACCGUGAUGUUCCUAUCCCACCAUGGAGUUUUGUCAUACCUGAUGAAGAUGGUGAUGCAAUGACCAUUAAUAUACCAUUAGAUGUAAACAAAGGGAACCUUCAAAUUCCAGACCAUGUAAAAUGUGUAUGUAUUAUUUUUUUUUUAUUAUUAUUAUUUUAAUUAUUUUUGAAAUUUUAUAUUAGUUUAUUUUUUACAGGUUGGGGUGGCAAAAGUAAAUGCUUUGCUCAAAAUGGUUGUUGGUUUGCAAAAUAUAUUUAUUACAAAGAUCCUUGAAUCUAGAGAUAGGUUAAAUGAUUCAAAUAAUAUUAUCCAUCAACUUCGUCGUCGUCUGCAACUAUGUGAAGCAUCUCAAAUAUCUGAAGACCAUAGUCAAGAUAUCAUUGAUAGUAGCAAUGUAAUCAAUAAAUAGGGAGAUGUGGAGGAGUAAUUUGGUUUACUUUUGUAUUUUUA